UGCACGACCAUUCAAAAAUACUACUAGGUUUCUAAUGAUACAAAGAUUAAUGCAAAUAUAGCAAAUAUAUAUAAUAGUAUCCCUUUAAUUGAAUGUCACUGUACUGUAUUCCCAAUUAUUACGCAAUUAAGUUCCUUUCCUUUAGGAAGCAAUAAAUAACAUGAUUUCUGCAAAGGCUAAAAUUAUAGCUCUAUACAGAUGCUUAAAGGUAUGUGUUCUUGUUUCUUUCAGCCAGAAUAUAAGAUUGCUGACCCCAUCUGCACAUUCCUGUUCUCAAUCUUUGUCUUGUGCACAACCUUCACCAUCAUGAGGGAUAUUGUCGUCGUCCUGAUGGAAGGUACUCCAGCUGGUGUGAAGUACAGUGAGACGAGUCAGCGGAUGCUCAGACUGUCCAAAGAGAAAUAACACAGGCUUGCUUUUCCUCCUACAACUUCCACAGUGUUACAAUACAAAUGGAGCGACAGUCGGACCAGAAGCCUGACUGUAAACUGUGUGAGGACCCCAAGAUGUAGCGGCAGAAUAAGGCCAAGGGACAGCUGCUAUAACCUCAGUUCACAACAUUUAGUCUUUCUGCACUGCUUCUAUAGGACCCUGAAGUCUGACAUUUAAUGAUAAAGUCUCAUGACUUUGUGUUGACACUAUCAAAGAUAUGUGCCUGAAUGAAAGAUCAAAUGAUUUUAGAAGGAAUGCCCUUUGGAAGUUUUAACUUGCUUUAAACUUUGAUAUUCAUUGUCUUUUCUUUUAAGUUUUUUCACAAUACAAUAGAAAUUACAAUUCAUAAAGUUAAAGUUUAUCUUUAAUGAAUAUGGUUUUACAUGAUUGAGUGUGUUGAGCAACUUUGAAAUAUAUAUGUCUUAUCUACUUCCCUGAACCUACAUCGUAACUACAGUUUACCUCAUGACCUCAUGGGGAGCAUUCAGACCAUGGCUAAAGUAUUCUAUUUUUUAAGUAUUUACUUACUGCAUCAACCUGAAAAAUAGUAUGCAGCCAUAGGCAAUGAAACAUGGUCUUGUAUGUAAAUAUAUACAUCAAUAAAUAUUUCUAUGCAUGGACUACUAACCAGCAACCUCAAACGUACUCUCUGUUGGGAGCAGCAAGUGUUUUUUUAAUACGUGGUCAAAAUGCCUUUCAUUGUCUUUGUAAAGUUCUAAUGCACAAACUGAAAUAAAAUAGUCAAUAAAAUAUUCUUUUUACAAAUA